GAUGAACGCUAGCUACAGGCUUAACACAUGCAAGUCGAGGGGAAACGACAUCGAAAGCUUGCUUUUGAUGGGCGUCGACCGGCGCACGGGUGAGUAACGCGUAUCCAACCUGCCCACCACUUGGGGAUAACCUUGCGAAAGUAAGACUAAUACCCGAUGAUAUCUCUAGAAGACAUCUGAAAGGGAUUAAAGAUUUAUCGGUGAUGGAUGGGGAUGCGUCUGAUUAGCUUGUUGGCGGGGUAACGGCCCACCAAGGCAACGAUCAGUAGGGGUUCUGAGAGGAAGGUCCCCCACAUUGGAACUGAGACACGGUCCAAACUCCUACGGGAGGCAGCAGUGAGGAAUCUUCCGCAAUGGGCAAAGCCUGACGGAGCAACGCCGCGUGAGUGAUGACGGCC
rnacentral:rRNA from 1 species